AGACGGGUAAUUGCGUUGCAUUUUUAUGCAAUGAGGAAAGUCCGGACACCCAAAGUACAAGAUUGCUUGGGAAAGCCAAGUGCGCGUGAGCGUGAGGAAAGUGCCACAGAAAAGCAGACUACAAAAUUAAUUUUGUACAGGUGCAACGGCGGGGUAAAAGCCCACCGCUUGGUUUGUGAAAACCAAGGUCAUGGUAAACCCCAAUCGGGUGCAAGUUUGAAUCUGCAAGAAGAAUUGUACUUUUCGCUUAAUUUUAAGAUUGCAGGAAAAAACGCAUUAGACAGAUGAUUACCUUAAACAGAAUCCGGCUUAUAGUCUGCUUUU
rnacentral:RNase_P_RNA from 1 species